GAUAGAGGUGCGGUAACGGCGUGUAGCCGGAGGGAGGCUGCCAAGGCUUUUGAUGUCCGGUGAAUAGACUUGCCGCCGAAAAGCAGAAAAGCGGCGUUUUCUGCUUUGGUCAUUCAUCACAGCGGUGUGUGACUGUCACUGCAGAAAUGCGGUGGGGAGCUAUCGGGU
rnacentral:ncRNA from 1 species